rnacentral:rRNA from 1 species
GAUGAACGCUGGCGGCGUGCCUAAUACAUGCAAGUCGAGCGAACAGAUAAGGAGCUUGCUCCUUUGACGUUAGCGGCGGACGGGUGAGUAACACGUGGGUAACCUACCUAUAAGACUGGAAUAACUCCGGGAAACCGGGGCUAAUGCCGGAUAACAUUUAGAACCGCAUGGUUCUAAAGUGAAAGAUGGUUUUGCUAUCACUUAUAGAUGGACCCGCGCCGUAUUAGCUAGUUGGUAAGGUAACGGCUUACCAAGGCAACGAUACGUAGCCGACCUGAGAGGGUGAUCGGCCACACUGGAACUGAGACACGGUCCAGACUCCUACGGGAGGCAGCAGUAGGGAAUCUUCCGCAAUGGGCGAAAGCCUGACGGAGCAACGCCGCGUGAGUGAUGAAGGUCUUCGGAUCGUAAAACUCUGUUAUUAGGGAAGAACAAAUGUGUAAGUAACUGUGCACGUCUUGACGGUACCUAGUCAGAAAGCCACGGCUAACUACGUG